UUCUGGACAAGUAUCAAUCUUGAUAUAUAGGAUCUUACAUUAAACAAUGUCAAGAAACAAAAUUAGUAUGUGGUCUAAUGCUCUCUUAGCAAACUUUAGAACCCCAUAUACAGGAUCUGGAAACCUUAAAAAUUAUGAAAAUUGCAAAGAUUUUAGUGUUUUUUUUGCCAUGUCAUGAGUACUGUCCAAAACAGAGUGCAGUUGCGUGUGUUUGCAUAGCAUGGGCAUAAAGUAGAGAGUGCAAUGCGACCUUUUCCAAACAUAACCAAAGAUUCCCAUCACUAAAAUCACCACCAACAAUUUGCCUCAUUAAACACACUAACAAACUAUCAAUUCCUGUAGCAGAAACAUCAACCAUUUCUUUAACCCAAAUUAAUUGUUCCUUUACCGAAUCAACAAGUUUUCUGUACAAUUUAUUAACAAUUCCAACAAGUAAUCUUAAAAACAUCUUAUACCUAUCAAUGACAAUAGCAUGUAAGUGCUUAAUAGGGUUCGAUUAAAACAAUAUUCUUGGGGAUCUAUGAUAGUUAACGAAAAGGGGGGUCUUAAUUUCGAUUGAAGAAGGUCAAAAUCUUACCUUGUUAGCGAACUGCUUCACUCGAUUCAGCACCGAUUUAACAUCUGGGUGUUGGAUCGAUAGCCCUUUCCUCUCACACCGAAGUCAGAUUUUCUCGAGAAAACUAAGAGGAAAUUGAAACUGUUGAGCUUGAGGAUGAAUUUGUGGAGGCUAAAAGGACUGUUGGAAGGAAAUGGGAAUCAGAGGUGAAAAAAAAAAAGAAAAUGCUCAGAUGAAAAAGAAAUGAGAAGGGUAAAGAUGAAAACUUUUAAUGCUGGAUUGGUAUUCGG
rnacentral:lncRNA from 1 species